UACGGGGGGGGCAAGCGUUGUUCGGAAUUACUGGGCGUAAAGGGCUCGUAGGCGGCCAACUAAGUCAGACGUGAAAUCCCUCGGCUUAACCGGGGAACUGCAUCUGAUACUGGAUGGCUUGAGUUCGGGAGAGGGAUGCGGAAUUCCAGGUGUAGCGGUGAGAUGCGUAGAUAUCUGGAGGAACACCGGUGGCGAAGGCGGCAUCCUGGACCGGCAUUGACGCUGAAGCGCGAAAGCUAGGGGAGCAAACGGG
rnacentral:rRNA from 1 species